rnacentral:rRNA from 1 species
GCGAGGCCGAAAGGCGUAGUCGAUGGGAAACGGGUUAAUAUUCCCGUACUUCUUACAAUUGCGAUGGGGGGACGGAGAAGGCUAGGUGGGCCUGGCGACGGUUGUCCAGGUUCAAGUGCGUAGGCUUAAGAGUUAGGUAAAUCCGGCUCUUUUUAAGGCUGAGACACGACGUCGAGCUACUACGGUAGUGAAGUCAUUGAUGCCAUGCUUCCAGGAAAAGCCUCUAAGCUUCAGAUUGUAAGGAAUCGUACCCCAAACCGACACAGGUGGUCGGGUAGAGAAUACCAAGGCGCUUGAGAGAACUCGGGUGAAGG